GAUGAACGCUGGCGGCGUGCCUAAUACAUGCAAGUCGAGCGAAGCGGGCACGGGUGAGUAACACGUGGAUAACCUCCUAUAAGACUGGGAUUACCUAGGGAAACCGGAGAUUAACCGGCAACUUAUAGAUGGUUCCGCUCUGCAUUAGCUAGUUGGUAAGGUAACGGCUUACCAAGGCAACGAUGCAUAGCCGAGCUGAGAGGAUGAUCAGCCACACUGGAACUGAGACACGGUCCAGACUCCUACGGGAGGCAGCAGUAGGGAAUCUUCCGCAAUGGGCGAAAGCCUGACGGAGCAACGCCGCGUGAGUGAUGAAGGUCUUCGGGUCGUAAAGCACUGUUAGUAGGGAAGCGGUACCUAAUCAAAAAGCCACGGCUAACUACGUGCCAGCAGCCGCGGUAAUAC
rnacentral:rRNA from 1 species